CCUACGGGAGGCAGCAGUGGGGAAUUUUGGGCAAUGGGGGAAACCCUGACCCAGCGACGCCGCGUGGAGGAUGAAGGCCUUCGGGUUGUAAACUCCUGUCAGGUGGGAAGAAAAGCUAUCCGGUUAAUACCCGGAUGGAAUUGACGGUACCACCAAAGGAAGCCCCGGCUAACUCCGUGCCAGCAGCCGCGGUAAU
rnacentral:rRNA from 1 species